rnacentral:rRNA from 1 species
UAAGCCUGUGAAGGUGUGUCGUGAGGCAUGCUGGAGGUAUCAGAAGUGCGAAUGCUGACAUAAGUAACGAUAAAGCGGGUGAAAAGCCCGCUCGCCGGAAGACCAAGGGUUCCUGUCCAACGUUAAUCGGGGCAGGGUGAGUCGACCCCUAAGGCGAGGCCGAAAGGCGUAGUCGAUGGGAAACGGGUUAAUAUUCCCGUACUUGGUGUUACUGCGAAGGGGGGACGGAGAAGGCUAUGUUGGCCGGGCGACGGUUGUCCCGGUUUAAGCGUGUAGGUGUGUGUUCCAGGUAAAUCCGGUUCACUUUAACACUGAGGCGUGACGACGAGGCACUACGGUGCUGAAGCAACAAAUGCCCUGCUUCCAGGAAAAGCCUCUAAGCAUCAGGUAACAUCAAAUCGUACCCCAAACCGACACAGGUGGUCAGGUAGAGAAUACCAAGGCGCUUGAGAGAACUCGGGUGAAGGAACUAGGCAAAAUGGUGCCGUAACUUCGGGAGAAGGCACGCUGACACGUAGGUGAAGUGAUUUACUCAUGGAGCUGAAGUCAGUCGAAGAUACCAGCUGGCUGCAACUGUUUAUUAAAAACACAGCACUGUGCAAACACGAAAGUGGACGUAUACGGUGUGACGCCUGCCCG